CUCGGGGAUAAGCCUUGGAAACGAGGUCUAAUACCCGAUAGGACAUGCCAUCGCAUGGUGGUGUGUGGAAAGUGUGUAGCGGUGUGGGAUGAGCCCGCGGCCUAUCAGCUUGUUGGUGGCGGUGAUGGCGCACCAAGGCGACGACGGGUAGCCGGCCUGAGAGGGUGACCGGCCACACUGGGACUGAGACACGGCCCAGACUCCUACGGGAGGCAGCAGUGGGGAAUCUUGCGCAAUGGGCGAAAGCCUGACGCAGCAACGCCGCGUGGGGGAUGACGGCCUUCGGGUUGUAAACCCCUUUCGGUCCCGACGAAGGCUCCUGUUGUCAGGGGUUGACGGUAGGGUCAGAAGAAGCACCGGCUAACUACGUG
rnacentral:rRNA from 1 species